rnacentral:rRNA from 1 species
AUGCCCAGCACGCCGCGGAGGUCCGUCUUGAACACGCUCUGGCAGACGUGGAGCGAGAUGUCCGGCCGCAUGUUGAACAGCGUCCGGCUGAACUCCUGCACCGCCGCCGGCACGUCCGCGCCCACCGCCAGCGGCGCGUACCCCUUGGCCCACGCCUCGUAG